rnacentral:rRNA from 1 species
GAUGAACGCUGGCGGCGUGCCUAAUACAUGCAAGUCGAGCGAACAGAUGAGGAGCUUGCUCCUCUGACGUUAGCGGCGGACGGGUGAGUAACACGUGGAUAACCUACCUAUAAGACUGGGAUAACUUCGGGAAACCGGAGCUAAUACCGGAUAAUAUAUUUAACCGCAUGGUUCAAUAGUGAAAGACGGUUUUGCUGUCACUUAUAGAUGGAUCCGGGCGGCAUUAGCUAGUUGGUAAGUUAACGCCUUACCAAGGCAACGAUGCGAAGCCGACCUGGGAGGGUGAUCGGCAACACUGGAACUGAGACACGGUCCAGACUCCUACGGGAGGCAGAAGUAGGGAAUCUUCGGCAAUGGGCGAAGGCCUGACGGAGCAACGCCGCGUGGGUAGUGAGGGUCUUCGGAUCGUAAAACUCUGUUAUUGGGGAAGAACAAAUGUGUAAGUAACUGUGCACGUCUUGACGGUACCUAAUCAGAAAGCCACGGCUAACUACGUG